rnacentral:rRNA from 1 species
UUUUUUAAUGGCCGCGGUAUUUUGACCGUGCAAAGGUAGCAUAAUCAUUAGUUAUUUAAUUGGUAACUUGUAUGAAUGGUUUGACGAAACAUUAACUGUCUCUUAUUUAUAUUUGAAAUUAAAUUUUUAGUUAGAAUGCUUAAAUUUUUUUAUUGGACGAGAAGACCCUAUAGAUCUUUAUUUUUGUUUAUUUUGUUUGGUUUAGUUUGUUUUUUUUUAAUUUAGAUUUUAUUUUGUUGGGGUGACAUGAAGAUAUAUAUAACUCUUUAUUUUUUUUUACAAUUAUUUUUGUAUAUUUGACCUUGUUUUAUUGUUAAAAGAUUAAGAUACCUUAGGGAUAACAGCGUAAUUUUUUUUGAGAGUUCUUAUUGACAAUAAAGAUUGCGACCUCGAUGUUGGAUUAAGAUAAUAUUUGGGUGUAGAAGCUCUAUAUGAUAGGUCUGUUCGACCUUUAAAUUCUUACAUGAUCUGAGUU